GACGAACGCUGGCGGCGUGCUUAACACAUGCAAGUCGAACGGACAGGCCCUGCUUUUGUGGCUUGCUCGUGUGCCGCGCGGGUGUGUAACACGUGAGUAACCUGCCCUUGACUUUCGGAUAACUUCUGGAAACUGGGGCUAUUACCCCAUAUGAUCUCCUGCUGCAUGGUGUUCGUUGGAAAGUUUCGGCGUUUGUGUCUGUACUCGCGGCUUAUCAGCUUGUUGGUGGGGUAGUUGCUUACCAAGGCUUUGACGGGUAGCCGGCCUGAGAGGGUUAACGGCGACAAUGGGACUGAGAUACGGCGCAGACUCCUAUGGGAGGCAGUAGGGGGGAAUAUGGCAGAAUGGGGGGAAGCGUGAGGCAGAAACGUUGGGUGCGGGAUGACGGCUUUCGGGGGGUAAACAGAUGUCGAAGGUGACGAAGAGUGAGUGACGGUAAUGGGUAAAGAAGCACCGGCUAACUACGUG
rnacentral:rRNA from 1 species